CGCACUGAUACCCUGGCGCAGCAAAAAAUCGUUUCCCCUGAAAUCACGCUGCCGAUAGCUUCCUCUUCCCCUUGAUAUCGCUCUCCACAAAAUCGAUUAGCCUACACACGAUUUCACCAUCCACAAAAUCGCUCAGCCUCCUCCUCCGCUUGAUCUUGCUGGCCAUCUCCUUCACCACCGCUGUACGCAGCCUCGCCGGAGAUCCGCCUGACGACGGAGUUUGAGGUGGCGCGACGGAGAUCCACCAGGAGCGAAAACCAGUCUCUGCUCCCGCGGAGCACGGCCUCGACGACGCUUCCUCCUUCCCACCUCACCCCAACUCUCUCAGAUUGGCGCCGCUGCCAGCCACUCACUCGCCAUCGGCAAGAUCAGUCGCACCGCCGACCCCUCGCUCUCCCUUGCCAAGAACAGUGCCGCUGCACCUCAUCCCAGCCAUCUCCAUGACGAAGCAAGAACUACAGAUCAUGAGAUCAACAAUGGCAAGGACAGAGGGCAGGUAAAUAAAAUGGUAACAACAGCUCCCACUCCUCCAUUUUCUUAAUUUCUCUAUAAAACAUUGGAUGCCCUGAUAUAGGAUGAGCACCAUACCCAAUGAUGAGUAAUUUCUAUAGAAUUAACUGCACACCUGAUUAAUCACUUGACACACUCAGGGAGUUGUGAAAGUGAUUGGCAAAUAUUUUAUUCGUACACGGUAUCAGGUCACAAAUAUCUAUCAACUUAAGUCUCGACCUCAAGGAGUUCCUCUAAGAGUCAGGAAAAUGCUAAAAUCAGCACAAGCUAUUGAUGAAUUCAAUCAAGAUGGAGUUUGAACAGAAAAUUUGAGAUGGGAGAAGAACUUCUGUGGUUGGAAGUUGAGAUGGGAGGAUUUAGCACGACAAUACAUCCAUCACCAUGUAGUCCGCUGCCAUCUUCACCAUAUGGUGUAAAGCCUUCUGCAGUUCACUUGAUGCACAGAUAUUUUGCAUGUUAACAGCUGAGGGGUUUUGUUAAUCAUAAGGCGUGUAUCUCAUUCAAAUUAAUCAUUUUUUAGCAAACACUUCACUUUUGUUAUCCUUGAGCAACCAAGUUUACAAUUAUGUCGUUUUGAGAAUGCAAGAUUAUUUGAGAAGACUUGCUUGAUUUUCAUGGAUAUGUAGUUAGACACAGGUGCUUGACACUUUGAGAAGUGUAAGUUGGCACUUGACAGUUUCCUACUAGGCGUCCAAAAAAAACUAGCAUGCACACAAGUCUUGCAAAAUCUGAACCAUAUAGCUUAGCAACUAAUUUUUUUCAUGCAAUGCUUAGGUAUCGAACUAUUUGAUGCCUCACAACUUCUUUCGUCAUGUUCUGUAAUGCUAUAUUUUUCCUUUGCCAUUACUUAAAGAAUACUCAAUUUUCGUGUUCGAGAAAGAAAAAAGAAUACCUUUUCUUGUCAUUACUGUUAAGGCUGAGGAGAAACAGGAAGAAUUUUGAGGCUUAACGAAUUACAGAUAUUCCUUCUAUAAGUGAAUUUUAUAGCUUGAUCCUGACCGCUGUGCCCACCGACUAGCGAAACCUGAGAUACCUGCUUAUGAACACGCUUCUUUAUCACUUCAAAUUUCUUAUUUUCUGUUCUCUAAAUUCAUAUUCAUAAAAUGUCAAUUUUAAUGAAUUUAAGAGAGGACUAAAUAUUUGUGUUUGCAGAUGAUGAUUUCAAGAAUUGUUUUUUCUGAUGAAUUACAGUGCCAACUUGGUUGAUUAUAGUUGCUUUUUUCUGCAUUUUUAAAGUCUUUUUAGCUUUCUAAUAAUGUUUUAAAGAAGGAUUUCACCUCAGGUCUGACAGUAUUCAAAUGUUUAGUGAAUCAACUACCUCUUGGAUAUGGGAUUGUCUAAGAAAAAUGUGUGCUCAUUGAGCUAUAGAUUCUCUCCACUUCUGCAGCUACAGUAUUGAGCUUGUUAUGAAACCAAAGCUUGAAUUUCCGUUAAGAAUCAUAAAAAGCCACUCAAAGCAUGUUGUAUAAUAUCCAAGGUACUUCAGUUAUUCACUGAAAGGGAUCAAGGUAAUAUAAUGCCACGGUUUUAUAUACUUCAGAGUAGAAACCUGGAUUGUAGUUUGACAGACAUGCUUGCAAAAAAUAGAUUUUUUUUGUGGAAAUAGGAAGAUUGCUUGUGACAGAUCUACAAUCAAGCAAAGGUGCCUAAAUUUUGGACUCAUACCAAGUGCUAGCCAUCUUAGGAGAUCCAAUUAUGCAGUAUUCAGCGUUUAGAAGUUUUACCACUGGUAAAUUGUUGUAGAAAAAUAGCAUGUACUGCUUGACCUGGAAAUAUGUGGAAGGGUGUAUUUAGAGUGGCAGUCAAUGUACAUGUAUAACUCAAAGAAGACGGUGAGACAUGUAUGUUAAUUUGUUUGCAUGUCUUUCAGAUUUAGAGAAUUUUGAUAUGUUAAUUUGUCUGUCAUGUUCUUUCAGGUUUAGAAUGCAGAUAAACAGAGGAAGUUCAAAAUAGGUGUGGGUGAUUACAACAGAAAACUCAGAUUGUUUGACACCUUUGUCUAGAAGCUAACAUGAAUAAUUGGAGGACACAAUCCUCACAGAAGUAUAAUCCAUUCACAAUAAAUUGAAGCAUCUUCAAUUUCCACUCUGAUGUCCCCACGGUAUAGCCAGGGCAACCGUAACUCUCCACUGGGAUGUUCUUUCUCAUAGUAUUUUUAUUGGAUGACACUUGGUUGAAAUGUAUCUUUGGGAUAUCUCCCUCUUAGCACCAGACAGGGUAACCGAGAGUGGUGCGCUUUCUCAAAAAUAUAUAUUUUUUUUGCACGGCAUCUGGUUUUGAAAUGUA